GCGCGAUGGCUUUCGGUGAUUAUCUGGCGGAAUACAACCCGACGAUCCACGGACGUUACGACCCUGUCCGUUAGUACGGCAAGCUGGAUACGCC
rfam:Aedes aegypti strain Liverpool supercont1.1007 genomic scaffold, whole genome shotgun sequence.